rnacentral:misc_RNA from 1 species
GAGUAAUCUCGUCAUUAAACUACCACACUUUUUACAUGUUCUCUUAAUAAACAUUGUGGGUUUUAAUGUUGUUUAAAUGUUAGUGUUUUAUUAUUAUUUAUCCUUGUUCGUUAUUAAUGUUCUAAGUGUCUAUUAACCAUUUAUUAAUUAUUGGAAUGUUUCAGGUGCGUGCCAUGAUGCAUCGAUGUCCUAACAUUUUAUGCCCGGUCCACCAAUUGCACCCAAUGCUAUCGUCCUCGCAUUCUACAUGAUCAUAGCCCACUUAAACCUAAAUUAACAAUGAACAACGAUCACUUAAACUCUCAACUUCGGCACUUAACACAAGAAAAUUCACACUGUACACAAAAUUAAUUUUGAUA